GCGAUUGUGGCUUAGUGGUAGAGUGCUUGCCUACCAUGCAUGAAGUCCUGGGUUCAAUUCCUCAAUACCA
rnacentral:tRNA from 1 species